AACCUGCCCCAUAGUCUGGGAUACCACUUGGAAACAGGUGCUAAUACCGGAUAAGAAAGCAGAUCGCAUGAUCAGCUUUUAAAGGCGGCGUAAGCUGUCGCUAUGGGAUGGCCCCGCGGUGCAUUAGCUAGUUGGUAAGGUAAAGGCUUACCAAGGCGAUGAUGCAUAGCCGAGUUGAGAGACUGAUCGGCCACAUUGGGACUGAGACACGGCCCAAACUCCUACGGGAGGGCAGCAGCA
rnacentral:rRNA from 1 species